rnacentral:rRNA from 1 species
GACGAACGCUGGCGGCGUGCUUAACACAUGCAAGUCGAACGAAGAGCGAUGGAAGCUUGCUUCUAUCAAUCUUAGUGGCGAACGGGUGAGUAACGCGUAAUCAACCUGCCCUUCAGAGGGGGACAACAGUUGGAAACGACUGCUAAUACCGCAUACGAUCUAAUCUCGGCAUCGAGGAUAGAUGAAAGGUGGCCUCUACAUGUAAGCUAUCACUGAAGGAGGGGAUUGCGUCUGAUUAGCUAGUUGGAGGGGUAACGGCCCACCAAGGCGAUGAUCAGUAGCCGGUCUGAGAGGAUGAACGGCCACAUUGGGACUGAGACACGUCCCAGACUCCUACGGGAGGCAGCAGUGGGGAAUCUUCCGCAAUGGACGAAAGUCUGACGGAGCAACGCCGCGUGAGUGAUGACGGCCUUCGGGUUGUAAAGCUCUGUUAAUCGGGACGAAAGGCCUUCUUGCGAAUAGUGAGAAGGAUUGACGGUACCGGAAUAGAAAGCCACGGCUAACUACGUG